AGUGAACGCUGGCGGUAGGCCUAACACAUGCAAGUCGAACGGCAGCACAGUAAGAGCUUGCUCUUACGGGUGGCGAGUGGCGGACGGGUGCGGAAUACAUCGGAAUCUACUUUUUCGUGCGGGAUAACGUAGGGAAACUUACGCUAAUACCGCAUACGACCUACGGGUGAAAGCAGGGGAUCUCCGGACCUUUCGCGAUUGAAUGAGCCGAUGUCGGAUUAGCUAGUUGGCGGGGUAAAGGCCCACCAAGGCGACGAUCCGUAGCUGGUCUGAGAGUAAUAUCAGCCACACUGGAACGGAGACACGGUCCAGACUACUACGGGAGGCAGCAGUGGGGAAUAUUGGACAAUGGGCGCAAGCCUGAUCCAGCCAUACCGCGUGGGUGAAGAAGGCCUUCGGGUUGGAAAGCCCUUUUGUUGGGAAAGAAAAGCAGCAGGUUAAUACCCCGCUGUUCUGACGGUACCCAAAGAAUAAGCAGCGGCUAACUUCGUG
rnacentral:rRNA from 1 species